rnacentral:rRNA from 1 species
GAUGAACGCUGGCGGCGUGCCUCAAACAUGCAAGUCGAGCGAGGCUAUGAAUUACCGCAAGGUAAGGCAUAGCCUAGCGGCGAACGGGUGAGUAACACGUGGGUAACCUACCUGGAAGACAGGGAUAACGAUUCGAAAGGGUCGCUAAUACCUGAUAAUAUCCGUCUGCCGGAUGGCGGAGGGAAGAAAGGGGAAACCCGCUUUCAGAUGGGCCCGCGUCCCAUCAGCUAGUUGGUAAGGUAAAGGCUUACCAAGGCGACGACGGGUAGCCGGUCUGAGAGGAUGUACGGCCACACUGGGACUGAGAUACGGCCCAGACUCCUACGGGAGGCAGCAGUUGGGAAUCUUAGGCAAUGGACGAAAGUCUGACCUAGCGACGCCGCGUGAGGGAAGAAGGCCUUCGGGUUGUAAACCUCUGUCGAGCGGGAAGAAAUGUACCAUGGCUAAUAUCCAUGAUAUUUGACGGUACCGCUAGAGGAAGCACCGGCUAACUCCGUGCCAGCAGCCGCGGUAAU